rnacentral:rRNA from 1 species
UACGAAGGGGGCUAGCGUUGUUCGGAAUUACUGGGCGUAAAGCGCGCGCAGGCGGUCUUCCAAGUCAGUGGUGAAAGCCCGGAGCUCAACUCCGGAACUGCCAUUGAAACUGUGAGACUUGAGGAUGAGAGAGGUGAGUGGAAUUCCCAGUGUAGAGGUGGAAUUCGUAGAUAUUGGGAAGAACACCGGUGGCGAAGGCGGCUCACUGGCUCAGUUUCUGACGCUCAGGCGCGACAGCGUGGGGAUCGAAACAGG